CAAAUGAAUUGACGGGGGCCCGCACAAGCGGUGGAGCAUGUGGUUUAAUUCGAUGCAACGCGAAGAACCUUACCUGGUCUUGACAUCCACGGAAGUUUUCAGAGAUGAGAAUGUGCCUUCGGGAACCGUGAGACAGGUGCUGCAUGGCUGUCGUCAGCUCGUGUUGUGAAAUGUUGGGUUAAGUCCCGCAACGAGCGCAACCCUUAUCCUUUGUUGC
rnacentral:rRNA from 1 species